CGGACUUUGUCGUAGACAAACGGGCGGCCGGCCCAGCCGGCCUUGGCGCUCUCAGGGCCAAACAUGGGAUGGGUGCAGAGGAUGUCGAACCCCAGGGGGAGGUGCUGGAGGAGGAGGUUUUUGGGGAAUUCUUUGACGGAGAGGACGUCAACGAAGAGGGUGGAGCGGCGGAGGCGCUGGAGGGGGAGGGAGCGGAGGACGGCGGGGGCGGAGAGGAUGGAAGUGCAGAGGACGACGACGUCGGGGUGCUGCUCGCAGAGGUCGUGGGGAUCGGGGAAGAAGGCAGCACCGAGGGAGCUGGCAGCGGCAGAGUGGUCGGAGCGGGAGUGGGCGAGGAGGGUGUGACCCUGGGAGGCGAAGGUGCGGGCGAGGAAUUGGCCGAAGUUGCCGAAGCCGACGAUGGCGAUCUUGAGGCGGGAGCGGUUGGAGAGGUCGUCGGAGGCUUGGGAUUCGAAGUCGAAGGGUUGUGCGGCGUCUAGGGCGCAGAUUGAGAGGUGGCGAUGGCGAUGGCGAUGGCGGCGGCGGAGGGCAAGGAAGGUGGUGACAGCGGCGGAGGGGGAGGAUCGGACGGUGGC
rnacentral:misc_RNA from 1 species